CGUGUAGGCGGCCUCUUAAGUCUGAUGUGAAAGCCCGGGGCUUACCCCCGGAAGCGCAUUGGAAACUGGGAGGCUGGAGUACCGGAGAGGAAGGUGGAAUUCCUGGUGUAGCGGUGAAAUGCGUAGAUAUCAGGAGGAACACCGGUGGCGAAGGCGGCCUUCUGGACGGAUACUGACGCUGAGACGCGAAAGCGUGGGGAGCAAACAGGAUUAGAUACCCUGGUAGUCCACGCUGUAAACGAUGGGCACUAGGUGUUCGGGGUAUUGACCCCCUGAGUGCCGCAGCUAACGCAUUAAGUGCCCCGCCUGGGGACUACGGCCGCAAGGUUAA
rnacentral:rRNA from 1 species